rnacentral:rRNA from 1 species
AUUGAACGCUGGCGGCAGGCCUAACACAUGCAAGUCGAACGGUAACAGGAAGAAGCUUGCUUCUUUGCUGACGAGUGGCGGACGGGUGAGUAAUGUCUGGGAAACUGCCUGAUGGAGGGGGAUAACUACUGGAAACGGUAGCUAAUACCGCAUAACGUCGCAAGACCAAAAAGGGGGACCUUCGGGCAUCUUGCCAUCGGAUGUGCCCAGAUGGGAUUAGCUAGUAGGUGGGGUAACGGCUCACCUAGGCGACGAUCCCUAGCUGGUCUGAGAGGAUGACCAGCCACACUGGAACUGAGACACGGUCCAGACUCCUACGGGAGGCAGCAGUGGGGAAUAUUGCACAAUGGGCGCAAGCCUGAUGCAGCCAUGCCGCGUGUAUGAAGAAGGCCUUCGGGUUGUAAAGUACUUUCAGCGGGGAGGAAGGGAGUAAAGUUAAUACCUUUGCUCAUUGACGUUACCCGCAGAAGAAGCACCGGCUAACUCCGUG